AGUGAACGCUGGCGGUAGGCCUAACACAUGCAAGUCGAACGGCAGCACAGUAAGAGCUUGCUCUUACGGGUGGCGAGUGGCGGACGGGUGAGGAAUACAUCGGAAUCUACUUUUUCGUGGGGGGUAACGUAGGGAAACUUACGCUAAUACCGCAUACGACCUACGGGUGAAAGCAGGGGAUCUUCGGACCUUGCGCGAUUGAAUGAGCCGAUGUCGGAUUAGCUAGUUGGCGGGGUAAAGGCCCACCAAGGCGACGAUCCGUAGCUGGUCUGAGAGGAUGAUCAGCCACACUGGAACUGAGACACGGUCCAGACUCCUACGGGAGGCAGCAGUGGGGAAUAUUGGACAAUGGGCGCAAGCCUGAUCCAGCCAUACCGCGUGGGUGAAGAAGGCCUUCGGGUUGUAAAGCCCUUUUGUUGGGAAAGAAAAGCAGCAGGUUAAUACCCCGCUGUUCUGACGGUACCCAAAGAAUAAGUACCGGCUAACUUCGUG
rnacentral:rRNA from 1 species